GUGGGUGUAGCUCAGUUGGUUAGAGCGUUGGAUUGUGAUUCCAAAUGUCGGGGGUUCGAGUCCCCUCACUCACCC
rnacentral:tRNA from 1 species